rnacentral:rRNA from 1 species
GACGAACGCUGGCGGCGUGCUUAACACAUGCAAGUCGAACGGAAAGGCCCUGCUUUUGUGGGGUGCUCGAGUGGCGAACGGGUGAGUAACACGUGAGUAACCUGCCCUUGACUUUGGUAUAACUUCAGGAAACUGGGGCUACUACCGGAUAGGAGCUCCUGCUGCAUGGUGGGGGUUGGAACGUUUCGGCGGUUGGGGAUGGACUCGCGGCUUAUCAGCUUGUUGGUGGGGUAGUGGCUUACCAAGGCUUUGACGGGUAGCCGGCCUGAGAGGGUGACCGGCCACAUUGGGACUGAGAUACGGACCAGACGCCUACGGGAGGCAGCAGUGGGGAAUAUUGCACAAUGGGAGGAAGCCUGAUGCAGCAACGCCGCGUGCGGGAUGACGGCCUUCGGGUUGUAAACCGCUUUCGCCUGUGACGAAGCGUGAGUGACGGUAAUGGGUAAAGAAGCACCGGCUAACUACGUG